CCCUUAGACGUUCUGGGCCGCACGCGCGCUACACUGACGAAGGCAACGAGCUUUCCUUUACCGAAAGGUACGGGUAAUCUUUUGAAACUUCGUCGUGCUGGGGAUAGAUCCUUGCAAUUUUUGAUCUUAAACGAGGAAUGCCUAGUAAGCGCAAGUCAUCAACUUGCGUUGAUUACGUCCCUGCCCUUUGUACACACCGCCCGUCGCUCCUACCGAUUGAAUGUGUUGGUGAGGAGCUCGGAUUGGCAGCAGUUGGUGGUUCGCCACCGGCUAUUGCUGAGAAGUCCUCCAAACCGCCCCAUUUAGAGGAAGGAGAAGUCGUAACA
rnacentral:rRNA from 1 species